rnacentral:rRNA from 1 species
AUUGAACGCUGGCGGCAUGCUUUAUACAUGCAAGUCGUGCGGCAGCGCGGGGGCAACUCUGGCGGCGAGCGGCGAACAGGUGAGUAAUACAUAGGAACGUAUCCUGAAAUGGGGGAGUAGCUCGGCGAAAGCCGGAUUAAUACCGCAUACGCUCCACGGAGGAAAGCAGGGGAUCGCAAGACCUUGCGUUUCUGGAGCGGCCUAUGUCUGAUUAGCUAGUUGGCGGGGUAAUAGCCCACCAAGGCGACGAUCAGUAGCUGGUCUGAGAGGAUGAUCAGCCACACUGGGACUGAGACACGGCCCAGACCCC